AACGAACGCUGGCGGCAUGCCUAACACAUGCAAGUCGAACGAGACCUUCGGGUCUAGUGGCGCACGGGUGCGUAACGCGUGGGAACCUGCCCUUAGGUUCGGAAUAACUCCCCGAAAGGGGUGCUAAUACCGGAUAAUGUCUUCGGACCAAAGAUUUAUCGCCUUUGGAUGGGCCCGCGUUGGAUUAGCUAGUUGGUAGGGUAAAAGCCUACCAAGGCGACGAUCCAUAGCUGGUCUGAGAGGAUGAUCAGCCACACUGGGACUGAGACACGGCCCAGACUCCUAAGGGAGGCAGCAGUGGGGAAUAUUGGACAAGGGGCGAAAGCCUGAUCCAGCAAUGCCGCGUGAGGGAUGAAGGCCUUAGGGUUGUAAAGCUCUUUUAACCGGGAUGAUAAUGACAGUACCGGGAGAAUAAGCUCCGGCUAACUCCGUG
rnacentral:rRNA from 1 species